rnacentral:rRNA from 1 species
GACGAAGGGGGGCUAGCGUUGUUCGGAAUUACUGGGCGUAAAGCGCGUGUAGGCGGUUGCCCAAGUCGGGUGUGAAAGCCUUGAGCUCAACUCAAGAAAUGCACUCGGUACUGGGUGACUAGAGGACCGGAGAGGAUAGUGGAAUUCCAGGUGUAGCGGUGAAAUGCGUAGAUAUCUGGAGGAACAUCAGUGGCGAAGGCGACACCCUGGACUCAUACUGACACUGAGGUGCGAAAGCGUGGGGAGCAAACGGG